CAGUAGCCGCGGUAAUACGAAGGGUGCAAGCGUUAAUCGGAAUUACUGGGCGUAAAGCGCGCGUAGGUGGUUUGGUAAGAUGGAUGUGAAAUCCCCGGGCUCAACCUGGGAACUGCAUCCAUAACUGCCUGACUAGAGUACGGUAGAGGGUGGUGGAAUUUCCUGUGUAGCGGUGAAAUGCGUAGAUAUAUGAAGGAACACCAGUGGCGAAGGCGACCACCUGGACUGAUACUGACACUGAGGUGCGAAAGCGUGGGGAGCAAACAGGAUUAGAUACCCCAGUAGUCCCUGUCUCUUAUAU
rnacentral:rRNA from 1 species